ACCUUGGAGAGGGAGUCAGCGCCACAUGGGUUGAGAAGGGGUGAGGAGGUUUUCAAAGGAAAAUUGAGGGGAUUUUACCAGAAUAAGGGGUUGGGUGCUGGGCAGCUAGCAAGAACAGAUUUCACUACACUUGACAAGUAAAUGGAUUAAUCAUGAAAAACAGGAAGACUUUUCUAGCUAUGGCAAUGUGUCCGGAAUUGGUGGGUUCUUGGUCUCACUGACUUCAAGAAUGAAGCCGCGGACCCUCACGGUGAGCGUUACAGCUCUUAAGGUGGUGCGUCUGGAGUUUGUUCCUUCUGAUGUUCGGAUGUGUUUGGGGUUUCUUCCUUCUGGUGGGAUCGUAGUCUCGCUGGCUCAGGAGUGAAGCUUUAGACCUUCGCGUCGCAGGCCUAGACGGAACGUUCAGUGUGAGGAAGCAUGUGUGAGCCAGCGAGGAGACAGAACACACAGCAAACCCGUGCCAAGUCAGCAAUGCAUUUUCUUUAGCACUUUGUACAGUUGUUCUGAAGUAAAAGAACUGUUUCUAAAAAUAAAACAAAAUAUUAUAAAAGCUUCACAAUCAAACAAUUUGAAACAAACCAUGGAUUUAAAUGUGCAAAUAAAUU
rnacentral:lncRNA from 10 species